GUGGCCCCGCAGCUCUGCGUGGAAGGGCUUCUCCCCCGCGUCCCAGCGUGUUUUAUCCGCCGCUAACGUUGCAGUUUAUUCCGGCGUUUUACAAUCAGCUCCUAAGGAAAGAGCCUUUGCACUGUUACUCCAUCAAAGCUGAUAGAAACAAUCAGGCUCAGACUGCACUAAUAAAGACCUUUCUGACAUCCUCCCAAAGCAAAUGAAGAACUAAAAGUGAAAUAUUUUUCAACCCUUCGUUGGAAAACCUGGACAUUACCACAAAACAUUAUGCUUCUGACUGCUUUCCAAGGAUCUCUAUUUUCUUCCUUACUUAAUUCUCUCUUGGAACUUGUUUGACUGUGUUGUCUUCUCUUUUCCUCUUGUCUAUCUGUAAUGUGCUGACAGCAUACUAAUUUUCUCUUUUCCUUUCUGCCUCUGUUUUAAUUUUUCUUCGCUCACAGUGGAUCUCCAGUGAUUCAGGAGAAAAGGAGUCUGUUAUCUGUUCUACAGAGGAGAUACAUACAGCAGCAUAACUUUGCUGUUUUCCACAGCAGCGUGACAGUACUGAAUCAUUCCACCUUAACAGACACUAAAAGUUGCAAACUUAACUGUGAUACUCAACAUUCCCUUUACUGAAUUAUUUUUUCAAAUUAUACUGUUCAUUUCUCAAGACCUUUUUGAAUGCCCAUCCUGUUCACCAGAGGGCUUGCCUUCUUUCCCUGGUCUACAAAAUAGGAAGUACUAAGUACACUUUUCAGUACACUGUUGAAGUUGUUCUUACAAGUAUUGAAUAGCCCAAGACUCCAGCCUUUGAAAUGUCUAGUUCACACAUCCUUCUAUUCUGAUCAUGAGUUGCUGAUAACAACAUUCUGACUAGAGUUUUCCAUCCACUUACUUAGUUCUCUUGAUUGUAUGUGACCUGCAUGAGGACAUCAUGUGAACUGGUAGCAAGGUCUUGCUAAACUGAAGAGAUAUUGCUCCUCCCCUAUCUACAAAUCUGUUGUAAAAAUGAAUAAAUCUUCUUCCAUCUCCUGGAAGGAUAUUGCCUUAAUUUGGUAUGACUUGCUCUUGCUAAAUCUGUGAUAAGUGAUACUUCUGCCCUUGCUUUGGUUUUGUUUGUUUGUUUUUCCCUGAGAUUUACAAGAGGUUGGUUUGCAUCUGGCUAUAAAGCCUUCCAAGAGCCAAUGAAAAUGCCAAUUCAGAACCAUUCAGAAAUAAAAGGAAAACUCUCAAAUAGGUGAAUUGAGCAAACCACGCAAAAUCAGAAAGAUGGUCUUGAUGCACUUUCCAGUAGUCCAGCGUAUAUAUCACAUCGGACCUCUACAUAAAUAACUUGGUCCUUCCUGGCUGACACAGUAGGAAGGAAUGGAGUGAGUGAUAGAUAUUUGGAUCAAAUAUGUUUCCAUUUUGAGCAACCUCGCAUCACUGAUGGUUGAAUUAUAAAGUUGGAUGAAGGGGAGAAACAACAAGAAUGGGAUAUGAGCACUAUCUAGUCCUUCCUUAUUUCAAAGUCUCUCUCAACACAGAGGCCAAGCUCCUUUGGUCAUUAAUGAAGUUGCUUUGAGUAGAUCUAAAGUGUCUCGGACUGGAAGGGAAUCCAGAUUAUACCACCUGGAGUGUUGCUCCUUCACUGGACCUCAAGGUGGAACUCUUGAGAGCAAGGGCUUUUGCUAUUGCAUGGAUCAUCUCUGAAGAUGGAUGUGUUUUGCUUACGUUCAUCAGAGCUGGAAGAAGUACUGCAUUUUAUUGUACAGUAAAGUGCUCCCUUCUGCGAGGUCACUGCAAGCCUAUUUCGGACUUGAAGAGAACUAACCCCUUGGUAGCAAGGGAGCAUCUCUCAUUUAUUUCACUUAACAAAAAUAAAAUAAACAUAAUAUUUUCCUUCUGAAAAUAAACGGGAAUAAUAUCUUAAGAAAUGAAUCAGAAAUAGAUGUUUAAGUCAUGAAAAAUGCCUUUCCUUUUUGUUAUUUCAAACCAUAAUCAUUUAUAUUCAUUUUGGCUCUUUCAACAGCAUCUAGUGGUAAUGAAGUAACUGAAAAAAGAGCAUAAAUCAUGGAGUCAGAGCACAGUGAGUUUUGUAAUAUUGUGACCUAUAUGUUCCUAUUAGGUUACUUGCUACACUUGCAUGGUUCCAAGUUGAAAAAAAAAUGUAGUAUAUAGAAAAAAAAAGAAGUAUAUAGAGGAUAAAAAGAAAAAAAUAUACAGCUGAACACGGAAAGACAAGGCUAUGAGUUACUGAAGUUGUGCUUUUUCCUCCGAAUUCAUCUGUUUAUCAUUAAUUUUCAUCCCUGUGCAAGUGUAUUAAAAGAUAUUCAGUGAUGUGGUAGUUACUGGAAUCAUUACAAAAACAAUAAAC
ensembl:lncRNA